UAGGGAAUCUUCCGCAAUGGACGCAAGUCUGACGGAGCAACGCCGCGUGAGUGAAGAAGGAUUUCGGUUCGUAAAACUCUGUUGUUAGAGAAGAACAGCGCAUAGAGUAACUGUUAUGCGUGUGACGGUAUCUAACCAGAAAGCCACGGCUAACUACGUGCCAGCAGCCGCGGUAAUACGUAGGUGGCAAGCGUUGUCCGGAUUUAUUGGGCGUAAAGCGAGCGCAGGCGGUCAAUUAAGUCUGAUGUGAAAGCCCCCGGCUCAACCGGGGAGGGUCAUUGGAAACUGGUUGACUUGAGUGCAGAAGAGGAGAGUGGAAUUCCAUGUGUAGCGGUGAAAUGCGUAGAUAUAUGGAGGAACACCAGUGGCGAAGGCGACUCUCUGGUCUGUAACUGACGCUGAGGUUCGACAGCGUGGGUAGCAAACAGG
rnacentral:rRNA from 1 species